UACGUAGGGGGCAAGCGUUGUCCGGAUUUAUUGGGCGUAAAGGGCGCGUAGGCGGCUUGGCAAGUGGAAGGUGAAAUCCCUCGGCUCAACUGAGGAACUGCCCUCCAAACUGCUUUGCUUGAGGCCGGGAGAGGUAAGUGGAAUUCCCAGUGUAGCGGUGAAAUGCGUAGAUAUUGGGAGGAACACCAGUGGCGAAGGCGGCUUACUGGACCGGUUCUGACGCUGAGGCGCGAAAGCGUGGGGAGCAAACGGG
rnacentral:rRNA from 1 species